CUACGGGAGGCAGCAGUGAGGAAUAUUGCACAAUGGGGGAAACCCUGAUGCAGCAACGCCGCGUGGAGGAUGACGCAUUUCGGUGUGUAAACUCCUUUUAUGAGUCAAGAAAAUGACGGUAGCUCAUGAAUAAGCACCGGCUAACUCCGUGCCAGCAGCCGCGGUAAAUACGGAGGGUGCAAGCGUUACUCGGAAUCACUGGGCGUAAAGGACGCGUAGGCGGGCUUGUAAGUCAGGUGUGAAAUCCUACAGCUUAACUGUAGAACUGCACUUGAAACUACGAGCCUAGAGUAUGGGAGGGGCAGAUGGAAUUAGUGGUGUAGGGGUAAAAUCCGUAGAUAUCACUAGGAAUACCGAAAGCGAAGGCGAUCUGCUGGAACAUUACUGACGCUAAGGCGUGAAAGCGUGGGGAGCAAACGGGAUUAGAUACCCCCGUAGUC
rnacentral:rRNA from 1 species